GACCAAAUUUGCCCGGCCCGUAUAAAGAAAAGAAACAAAACGAAAAUACAAAAAACAAAAUCACAAAAAAAAAUAUGUAUACCACAGUCCAGGUCUUUGGUACAAAGCAGCCCAAAUACAUUAACCCUAGCCCGAUACCCAUCAUGAGCCCAAAUCGAAACAAGCCCAAUAGGCCCAUUCCCUUAACAGCUCCAGAAACCUUAGGUCCCCCCCUCUUUUCGUUUUGUGCCACAACCAAGAAGCAGUCCCAUACCUCCACAGCCCUCGUAUGCCACGCCUGCACCCCGUACGAAUGCCAACAGACUCUGUACCUGCAAGAAGGAAACAAAAACAGCAGCGAAUGGAAACAAGUAUAUUGUAUUUUUUCGAUUUAUUUCCUUUUUCGACUAUAAAAGCCCAGCUUUUAAUCUUUGUAAAGGAAGAGAGGAGAAGAAGAGGAAAGCAUUUUUUUUCACGAAUACACAACAAGCAAUAAAAAAGAGCAAACACAAACACAAAAGGAAAAUCAAUACAAAAAAGCUUUUCUAAAAAAGGUCUCCACAAGGUGAUUCUCAUUUUUUUCUUCCGAUUUAGUUUAUGUUUUUUUGAUUGAUCUAUCGCAUGAAAAACGAAUAAAAGAGAGGGCGAAUCAAAUAUAAAGAAAUCAAUUUUGUUUAAAGAAAAAGCGAGGAGAGCCUUAUCUUGCAGAUAUGCCAAAGGUUCCUCUCGUUGAAAUCGAAGUUGAAAAGAGAUCUCAAGGCUGAAAAGUUCUCCACCAUUGGUAGGUUCAGGCCGUCGUCGGCGCUUUCGGCCACCGGAUCUGGUGGUGGUUCGACUGCUGUAAGUUUAUGGACUGAAACCUAGUUGAGGGUUAGGAAUUUGGGAGGUCUGUGCUUAAGAAAAUGGUUUUGUAAGCUUUUAAAAUAUAAAUGUAUAAUAAAAGCUAUUAAUUUUAAAGUGGUGCAAUUAAGAAGUUGGAAACCGCGUGUUGACCUGCUCAUUAGCUGGAAUUGCACAUUUCCAUCUAAAAGGGGUAAUUUAUGCGGACAGUCCCUCCCAUUUGUACCACUUUUAAUUUAAUCCUAUCCCAUGUCUUUCAUCUUUGCCCAGAACUUUGCGUGCUACUCCAAUUUAGUCAGCGCUUAAGCAUUUCGUUUUGGAAUUGGGACUAUUUUCAUUUUUAAUCCUUGGCCAUUUGAGCGCCUUACACUUUGGUCCUUUCAACGGUUUAUUCUAUUUGUUAAUUAUCUCUUUUAAUUUGCUUUUAUCUCAAUUAAGUUGUUUAUUUUUGGCAUAGUUCAUUCUUUUUCUUUCUUUUCGUUUGGCAUUCAUCUUUUUUUUUAUAUUUUUAAAUUACUUUAAUGAUUUGUUAUUAUUAUUUAAUUAUAAAGCUAUUAUUUUAAAAUUACCUUGUAUAUCAUAUUGUUUCUAAAACUUUGUAUAAUAUUUAAAUUAAUCUUAUAUUAAUACAUAUAUGAGUUAUGACAAAAUUAGUUUUACUUUAUACACAUUAUUAGUUCCAUGUUAUUUUACAUAUAUAUAUUUAAUCUAUUUAUUUGUAUUUCCUUUCAAAUUUAUCAUAUAUAUAGUUUAUUCUUUGGAAAAUAUGUUUUAUUAUUUCCUUGUUAUUUAAGACUAUUUUAUAUAUAUAUUAUUUUAUUUGUUAUUCUGUCAUGCAUAUAGUCUUCUUUAUAUAUAUAAGCAUGUUUUUAAAUCCAUUAUACAAUUUGUUAUAAAAUUAAUUUAAGCUUGUAGGUAUUUCUAUGUUUUUACAAAUUAUUAUUAUUAUUAUUAUUUUAGUUAUUUAUGCAUAUAUAUUUUGUGAAUCUAUUUAGUGCAUUAUAUCUUGUCAUAUAUCUCUAUUAUUCUUUCAUAUUAUAUACAUUAUUUAAAUUAUCAUGUACAUUGUCAAAUUUUAAAUGCACUUGUGUCUAAAAUAUUUUACACGCAAUUUGAUUCAAAUUUUUAUUCUAUAAUAUCUAUUCCGAAAAUCCUAUAGCUAUCCCUAGUUUUCAUACAAAUUUGUCAACCUAUAUAUAUGAGUCCAUUUAUUCAUUAUUAUUUUAAAACCGUUUUAUAGCAAAUUGGCUUCUAACUGCUAUGUUGUUUUUAUAUCUUGCAUUGAUUACUCUAUAUCAUGCUAUGUACAUUAUUGGGGCAUAUUAUUAUAUGCAUUGUUUUGCUUGUGUGAUUGUUAUGUUAUCAUUUUCGUCAUGGUAUUAUUAUAUCAACUAUUCUCCAUGUAUUAUUGUAAUUGGGUUGCAUUUUUAGGAUAGUUAUAUUUAAUUAUUAGUUUGUUAAUUGAUUGUAUCUCCUAUGUGCCUAUUACCGCAUAUCAUCAUUUUUCACUUGGUUUGUGAAAUGUGGUUCUAUAAAACCCAAAUUUUAUGAUUAAUUUCGUCUUAUUUCAAAUCGAAUUAAUACGUCUUAAGCUAGCUUUAUAAUCAUUCAUUCAAAAAUUCUUUAAAAUGAAGGCGAGAUUUGAUAUUUGGCAAUUCGCGGAAUCGUGCCCUAACGUGUUGGGUUGCAAUUUCGUGUUUGCUCAAAAUAAUCGAAUAUCACUUCAAAAUAUCACUCAUAUCUUUUAAAAAUCCCUUAAACGAAGGCGAUAUGCGAUAUUUGGCAACUCGUGGAAUUGUGCCCUAACGUGUUGGGUUGCAAUUUCCCGUUUGUUUAAAAUAAUCAAAUAUUCCUUCAAAAUUUCACUCAGGUCUUUUAAAAAUCCAUUAAAAUGAAGAUAAUACUCGGUGUUUGACAAUCCGAGAAUCAUGCCCUAUCGUGUUGGAUUGUGAUUUCUCGCUUGUUCAAAACAAUCGAAUAUUCCUCUAGGCUUUCGUUCAUGUUUAUUAAAAACCUUUCAAAACGAAGGCGAUGUUCGAUGUCUGGGGACUUGAGAAUCGAGCCCUAUUGUACUGGGUUGCGCUUUUUCAUUCGUUCAAAAUAAUCUAAUAUCCCUUCAGAAUUUCACUCAUGUUUUCUAAGGUGAGACAAUGUUCGAUGUUUGUAAAUUCGAGGAAUCGUGCCCCACUGUGUUGGGGUUUCAGUUUUUCGUUGGACCAAAUAGUUGGGCAUCCUUCUGUUAAUUUCAAAUUAUAAACUUUCGGACGUCGAAACAAGAAGAUUUUUGGCAAUCAACUCGGGUUAUUCAAAUGUUAUUUAAAAAGAACCACGAUUCAAAAACAUUUUUAAUUUUAGACAUAAGGACAGUAUCUAAUCGAUUUGGUACCAAUUUUGGGCGUUAUGAGGGUGCUAAUCUUUCCUCAUACGUAACCGACUCCCGAGCCCGUUUUCUCAUAAUUUUCGCAGACCAGCAUAAUUAUUUUAGUAAAUAAAAAAUGUUUCAUUAAAAUAACCAAAUUCUUAGGUGACCCGAUCACACCUAAACAAGAAAAGAUUGGUGGCGACUCUAUUUUAGCUUUCCAAAAUAUCGAUCCAUUAUUUUUUAAAUUGAAAUAAAAAAUGGUUUCGACAGCUUGGCGACUCCGCUGGGGAUGAAUGAGAGUCGAGCCAUAAAAAUCAAUUAUUUACUGUCCUUUUAUCGAAAACUGAAAAUUUACUUUAAAAAUCAUGUAUCUUUCGAUUGCAUUUGAUUGUGUGAUUGCCUUACUGCGGGUCUUGUAAAAUAGCACUGCAUUUCAUUGCAUGACCACUGUGAUCACACCUUCUAAGUGAGAGUAAAAAAAUACGCUUUCAUGAGGUUUUCACCUCUGCAUGGGCUAGUGGAUUGCUUCCGGGGUACAUCUGUACCUAUGAUUUCGUGAGAUUUUCAUCUCCGCAUGGUCAUAGGGAAAUGUAUCCCCCUGAACUGAACUCGAUCUAUAUGAGCCUAUAAUGGGUGAGGAUUGAGGAAUCUACUGGUUCGGGUACCUUAUCUCUAGAACUAAACCGCAUAUAGUGAACCUUAGGAACCAUCCUUGGGUGAAGCCACAUCGAGCCUUAGUACUUACCCGUAUAUGCAUCAUAGUUAUCGUUUAUGUGCUUGCAUUCUAUCGCUAUUAUUUGACACUAACCGGUGUUUUGUUUUGUUUUGUCAUUUUUGCAUAACAUUACAUACUAAAGGAGGCGUUAAUUCGUAUUCAAUUAUUAAGUUAGAAAAUUUGACAUGGAGAAUGAAUUUCUUAGUAAAGUCGAGGAUAAUGCGGCCGUUCGUGCAUGGUCGGAGAGGCUACGAUCAGAGAGAGGGGAUAGCUUCGUAGAAGGGUAUGUAUCGGAGCUGCAAGAUUUCACUCGCGUCAAUGUAGUACAGAACGAGCUACAAGAGUUGAGAGACAUUUGGGCUAGUUGGAAUGAAGGAAUCAAGUAAUUGUUUUACCAAAAUUAUGGUGACGUAUCCUACCUGCUAGAUAUUAGAGUGGAUAAGCAUUUGUUCCGAGCCUUGGUGCAGUUUUGGAAUUCUGUAUACAAAUGUUUCACUUUUGGAGAAGUGGAUUUGGUACCUACCAUGGAGGAAUACACUACUUUGCUCAGGUGUCCCAAAAUUCAGGUCCGGAAGACUUAUGCUCGAGUUUUUAGUAGUCAGACUUUCGUGAAGAAACUGAUUAGCAUUUCUGGGAUGAGCGAGCCUUGGGUCACUGCUUGGAUUUAGCAAAAAGGAGAUAGCAAAUGUAUCCAUUGGGAGAAUUUGCGAGAUUUGAUCUUGACACAUCCAGAUGAAAGAAAGAGGGUUGAUAUAUUUGCCUUAAGCAUCUACGGAUUAGUGAUAUUUCCUAAGGCUUUGAGGCACGUGGAUCGAGGCGGUCAUUGACUUGUUUGAUCGCCUUGAAAAGGGAAUCACACCGGUACCGAUAAUAUUGGCAGAAACGUUCAGAUCUUUGAGCUCAUGUCGGAAGACAGGCGAGGGGCGAUUUAUUGGAUGUGCGCAAUUAUUGAUGGCAUGGUUCCACGGGCACUUUUGGAAGGUAGAUAAAGUUUCCUAUCUAGUCUUCUCCGAGGGUUAUUCCCCGUUGAAAGAAGAGGCAGCUAUACAAAGGAGAGAGGAUAUCUUAGAGGAGAAGUGGACGGACAUUCUUCAGAACCUCAAGGUGGGGGAUAUCAAGUGGAGAGCUUAUUGGAUGGUUCCUGACGAGAUCAUGUACCGAUGUGGUAGCUUUGAUUGGGUGUCAUUGUUAGGAAUUUGGGGAGCUACCGGGUAUACUCUGCUGUUAGCCUUGAGGCAAUAUAAGUCAAGGCAGUUUGUACCCACAACCUAUGGGCUUGCUCAGAGUGAAUUCUCAUUUAAAGGUGCUCAGAAGAGAGUUCGGGAGUUAUCGGAUGCUUGGAAGCAAACUUGUUAGAUGAAGAGGUUAGCCGUCGGUUCCAUGGUAACGCCCGAGUAUAGCAAGUGGUUUAAAAAGAGGAUUAAUGAUAAUAUUCCUAUGCCAAGCUUGGAGAAUACUCGACCAAUCGAGGAACAAUUAUAAGUCACCCCAUUAGAAUUGGAAAUUAUAAGGCAAGAUUUCGAGAAGAAGAGUUCGGAGCUCGGGAAGAAAAUUGAACAGUUGGAGGAAGAGAAGAUGCAUCUAAGGUUAGAUGCUGAUGUUCAGAGGUCAGAAGCUGAGAAAUGGAGAAAAGGAAAAACUAAGGCCGAAGAAGACCUGGACAGCUUAAAGAUAGACUACAAGAAGCUGCGCCUAUCUAUGAAGACUGUGGGUUUAGGUAAGACUUCCGAACAAUGGCGCCACAAAAUUCGAGAAGAAAAAGCCAAUACUGAUCGGUGGGAAAAAAAAUUUCGAGAAGCUCAAUCACGAAACGAAGAUUUGGAGAAGAGUCUGUCGGAAAGUAGAAAUGAGCGAGCGGAAUUAAGGGCUAGAGUGGCAGAACUCGAGAAGUCUUUGCAUCAAUACCAAAACCGUAACACCGCAAUAAAGUUGAGGGCAAGCUUGAACAAGAUAGAAGAAAUGAAAGGAAAGAUAGAAGAUUUAAAGGCGUCACUGCAGAACUGCGAGAUGCGGAUCCAAUUUUUUAAGGCAAACGAGGAUCGUUGGAAAGAACAGCUUCAUCAUGUGCAAGACCAAGUCAGAAACAGAGAUCACCUUAUGGGGGAAGCCAUAACCCAGAUUCGAGAAGUAGCGGACUACUUGCAAACUUUAGCGGUUCAAGCGGAAACACUGAGCUUGAAGUAUGAAUUAAAGUCAGACCGCGGACAAGGGCUGGCCUCGUUGCUUAGAAAAAUUAGGACUUUGAGUGUUAGAGCGAGAUUUUAUCUAUAACUCGGCCUUAUGUAAAAGAUUUUAUUUUCAAAGUGAAAUUUUAUAAGGGCAAUUGAAUCAAAAUUGAUGCCUCCUUUGCAUUCAUAUAUUUGCAUUACAUCAUAUCAUCAUGCAUUAAAGGCCAUAAGAGUUUUCUAAUUAAUUAAUUAAAAAUUAUUUCAGUAAUCUGGAAACCAACGAAAACCAACCAACCUCGCAUCCCUACGGUACGAGAAAAAAAUCAAUGGAUAAGAGACUUGAGAAAUUGGAGUAAAUGCAAAACGACAUGCAAGAACAAAUGCAGUCCCAGAUGGAAGAGCAGCUAGCCAAAAUUCAACGAGAGAUGAAGGAGCAAAUGAUGGAGUCUCAGAGAGAGAUGAUGUCCCAGUUAUCCAAAUUACUGCUGGGAGGAAUGGAUAAGGGAAAGGGCCUCAUGGACCAAGUUGAGGAAACCAAUGAAGACCUCCAAUACCCCCCCGGCUUUACUCCGAUGCAUAUACCGAUGAAGCCCGAGAUUAACCUACAAAAACCAUCAGUCACAAUCAUGCCUCAGCAAGUUCAAGCCGGAGCUUCAAUUCCGAUGAACUUCCAAACCGGCUCAGGCUCUAACUUUGUCAACAACCCGAACUAUCUGCCCAUUCCCGACUUGGAUGAAGUGGCUGAAGAGGAAAAGGCGAGGAUGGAUUCGCAAAAACAAUUAGAAGAACGAUGUAGAUGGCUUGAAGAGAAAUUCAAAGCCAUAGAGAGCGCGAAUCAUCAUCAAGAGAUUGAUGCUAAGCAUCUGAGCCUGGUCCCAGAUUUAGUUCUCCCCCCUAAAUUCAAAAUGCCUAAAUUCGAGAAAUACAAUGGAACAAGCUGCCCUGAAGCCCACAUCACCAUGUUCUGCAGGCGAAUGACGGGAUAUGUUAACAAUGACCAGUUACUAAUCUACUGCUUUCAAGAUAGUCUGGUUGGAGCAGCGUCUAAGUGGUACAAUCAACUGAGCCGAGCCAAAAUUAACUCAUGGAAAGACCUGGCUUAGGCCUUUAUGAAGCAAUACAAUCAUGUGGCGGACAUGACCCCCGACAGGAUCACUCUCUAGAAUAUGGAGAAAAAGUCAAAUGAAAGCUUCAGACAGUAUGCACAAAGGUGGAGAGAGGUGGCCAUACAAGUUCAGCCGCCACUUCUAGAAAAAGAGACAACAAUGCUCUUUAUUAACACAUUGAAAGCCCCUUUUAUCACUCAUAUGUUGGGAAGCGCCACCAAAAGCUUCUCUGACAUAGUGAUGACGGGAGAAAUGAUCGAAAAUGCUGUAAGGAGCGGCAAGAUAGAAUCGGGAGAGAGUGCUAGGAAGUCAGCCCCGAGGAAAAAGAACAAUGAAGUGAACAACACGAGCACAUUCAACAAGGGGCAGCCCAAAUCAUUUACCGUAAAUCAACCCAAAACAAUGACCACUAAUCAACAAAGCCCUGCAAGACAAGAAUCCAAUGCAAGAAAGAACACAGAAAGGCCACAAUUCACCCCUAUACCAAUGACGUAUAGGGAGUUGUACCAGAACCUGUUCAACGUUCAUGCGGUAUCACCUUUCUACCUUGAGCCAGUGCAGCCCCCGUAUCCCAAAUUGUAUGACACAAACCCCCAAUGUGAAUACCACACAGGAAUUACCGGGCAUUCAAUCGAAAAUUGCACUGCGUUCAAGAAAGUGGUCGAAAGACUCAUUAAGGUGGGAAUCGUGAGAUUUGAUGACCCAGCUACGCCUAACGUAGCAGGAAACCCACUCCCCAAUCACACCGACCAAGGAGUGAACAGGAUAAGUGAAGGCAAAAAUAAGAAGAUUAAGUGUGAGGUUGCGAAAAUCAGGACUCCGUAGAGAUAAGUGUGGAGGGAGAUGGUUAAGAGAGGUUUGAUCACGUUGGAUUUGGGAAGAGAAUCUAAAGAAGAGAGGAACUACUGCGAGUUCCACAACGAGGUGGGGCAUGAAAUCUAAGAGUAUGUCGAGUUCAGGGCCCUAGUGCAGAACAUGAUAAACAAUAAGGAAAUGGAAUUCUAUGAAGAGACUAAAAACCCUGUAGAGGGAGACAUAUGUGCGUCGGAGGGAGAGUCGAUGGCACAAAAUCAAACAGUUAACUACUCCGUGGUUAUCAUAUUGAGACCCAAAAAUAAUGAAGCUAGAGUUCAACUACCACCAAGGGUCAUAAUCCAAAGACCUGCAGUCUUCCCCUACAAAUAUAGUAAAAGGGUCCCAUGGAAUUAUGAUUGUAAUGUGACAAUUCUGGGGAAAGAAAACCUAGUCGACACUUUAAAAAAGGACCAAGAUAGGGGCUCCUAUACAUGUAGCGGGAGACGUUACGAUACAGCGAGCGAGAAGGCACAACCCGUAAAAGGAAAAGCCCUAGUGGUCGAAUGGGUGGAGGAAAAAACGACCAAAUCUGAACUUCCUGUCAAUGAGCUAGUUAACGAAGAAGAGGCUGAGGAGUUUUUAAAAUUCCUAAAGCAUAGUGAACACAGCGUGGUAGAACAGCUACGUAAACAACCAGCUCGUAUCUUAGUACUGGCCUUACUUCUAAGCUCGGAAGUUCAUCGCAACGCGCUAAUAAAGGUCUUGAAUGAAACAUAUGUUGUCAAUGAUAUCUCCGCUAACAAACUGGAUCGUCUGGUUAGUAACAUAAGUGUCGACAACUAUAUCUUCUUCAAUGACGAUAAGAUACCACCCGGUGGCAUGGGGUCGACUAAAGCACUGCACAUUACCACGCGCUGUAAAGGGUAUACGCUGCCAAGUGUACUGAUUGACAACGGAUCAGCUUUGAAUAUCCUGCCAUUGACCACACUAAACAGAUUACCUAUGGACAGCUCUCACAUGAAGGAGUGCCAGAACAUAGUAAAAGCAUUUGAUGGCACGGAGAGAAAGGUGAUGGGCAAAAUUGAGGUACCUCUUCAGAUUGGGCCAAACAUAUAUGAGGUGGAUUUCCUAGUAAUGGAUAUCAAGCCCUCAUAUAAUUGCUUAUUGGGGAGGCCCUGGAUACAUUCAGCUGGGGCAGUGCCUUCCUCUUUACAUUAAAAGUUGAAGCUGGUAUCAGAGGGGAGGUUGAUAACGAUCAAUGCUGAAGUGGAUAUCAUUGCAAUUGCGAGCAAUAAUGCGCCCAAUUUGGAGACAGAUGAUGAAGCAAUCGAAUGUUCAUUUCGAUCUUUAGAAUUUGUUAAUGCAACCUUCAUCGCUGAGGGAAGCAAGAUUCUGGUGCCAAAAUUGUCUAAAACCACGAGGAUGAGCCUCCAGUUGACAAUUGGAAAAGGAGCCCUACCCAGAAGAGGACUUGGAAGAUAUCUACAAGGAAAGGUUGAAACGCCAAUGCUGAAGGACAAGAGAGACCGCUUCGGCUUAGGAUUCAAGCCAGAUGUGAAACAAAGGAGAAGAGAGCUAGAAAAGAAGCAAGAAAAAAGGAGAGCACGGUUGACCGGGGGAGGAAUCAAAUGGGAACCAAUGAUAUUCCCCCACAUAUCGAAAACUUUUGUGUCUAGAGGAAUCAUUCAUCCCGAGCGGGGUACGCUCAAAAAGGAAGCCAUAGAAGAAAGGCUGGAAAGCUUGGACAUCAACGCCACAUACGAAGAGGAGACUGGGGGAGAAAAUUUAUCGGGCAUUUGCCCUUACACAUUUGGAAGUGUUCUGGACAACUGAACUGCGGAAGAGAUUCCUGUAGUUUUUAGAACUGGUUCAGAGUAAUGUCCAAAACAUACUUAUUGCUCUAGGCCUAGGAGUAAUAAGAAUCUUUUGUGAAAUAGGCUGAUGUUUAAAAAACGUUAUUUCAAUAAAAUGCAUGGUUAUUAUCAUCCUUUCAAUUUCAUUCAUAAUCAUACAAAUGAUUACUUUCGGAUUAUUUUAUUCUCGAAACAUUUUUCUAAAUAUUCUUUCAUUCGUCAUUCAUAAUCAUACCACACGAAUAAAUGUUUCGAAUUCUUUUGAUUCUUUGUAUCUGCCUUCAUCCUCAUAACAGGUCCCCAGAUAUCAAUGAUACGAGUGACACUACUAGCAACUCAGAGUUUCUUUUUGAGCGAAAUGUGUGUAUGGAGGAUUCUUAAGAUUUUGAGGAUGACCAAGGCAACCUAUCUCCCGAUUUGUUGAGAAUGGUAGAACAAGACGAGAAACAAAUCCUAUCUUACAAAGAAUCAGUUGAAAUUGUGAGCUUAGGAGAGAGGCAAGGGGUGAAGAUCGGAACGUGUACCACCAUAGAAAUAAAGCGAGACCUCAUUGAAUUACUUCAGGAAUUCAAAGAUGUCUUCGCAUGGUCAUACCAAGAUAUGCCUGGGUUGGACACUAAUAUCGUCGUGCACCGACUCCUCAUAAAGGAGGAAUGUAAGCCAGUUCAGCAAAAACUCCGAAGAAUGAGGCCCGGCAUCUUGCUAAAAAUAAAAGAGGAGGUUCGAAAGUAGUUCUUCGCUGGAUUCUUGAAUGUGGUAAAAUACUCAGAUUGGGUAGCCAACAUCGUUCCAGUCCCUAAGAUGGAUGGAAAAGUGCGAAUGUGUGUGGAUUACAGGGAUUUGAACAAAGCCAGCCCGAAGGACAAUUUCCCACUGCCUCACAUUGACACCCUAGUGGACAACAUGGCGGGACACUCACUGUUUUCAUUCAUGGAUGGUUUCUCUGGAUAUAACCAGAUCAAGAUGCAUCCUGAAGAUAUGGAGAAGACCACAUUUGUGACUAUGUGGCGGACGUUCUGCUACAAAGUAAUGCCAUUUGGACUAAAAAAUGUGGGGGCUACCUAUCAAAGAGCCAUGGUAACCUUUUUUCAUGACAUGAUGCAUAAAGAGAUUGAGGUUUAUGUCGAUGAUAUGAUCGCAAAGUCUCGAACAGAGAAGGAGCACAUACAAGCCUUAAGGAAAUUGUUCUUGAGGUUGAGGAAGUUUCAGCUAAAACUCAACCCCGCCAAAUGUACCUUUGGAGCCAAGUCUGGAAAGUUGCUCGGAUUCGUGGUUAGUGUGAAAGGGAUCGAGAUCGAUCCAGACAAAGUUAAAGCCAUACAAGAGCUAUCUCCGCCGCGUACUCAAAAAGAGGUUUGAGGCUUUCUAGGAAGAUUAAAUUACGUUGCUCGGUUCAUUUCACAAUUAACUGAGAAAUGUGACCCGGUCUUUCGCCUCCUCAAGAAAUACAACCCGGGUGAAUGGGAUGAAGAAUGCCAAAGGGCUUUUGACAAGGUUAAACAGUACUUAUCCAACGCUCCGGUGCUAAUGCCACCUAACCCCGAUAAGCCAUUGAUACUGUAUUUGGCAGUACUUGAGAAUUCCAUAGGAUGCGUAUUGGGUCAGCAUGAUGAGUCAGGAAGGAAAGAAAAUGCUAUUUACUAUCUUAGUAAAAAUUUCACGGAAUGUGAGGCAAGGUAUUCACCGAUAGAGAAGCUGUGUUGUGCCCUAAUUUGGACAACCCGAAGGCUGAGGCAAUAUAUGUUGUAUCACACCACUUGGCUCAUCUCAAAAUUGGAUCCUUUAAAGUACAUGAUGGAGUCAACAGCUUUGAAUGGAAGGAUGGCUCGAUGGCAGAUUCUGCUUUUUGAAUUCGAUAUAGUCUAUGUGAACCAGAAAGCAGUAAAAGGAAGUGCAAUAGUAGAUUUUCUAGCCAGUAGAGUUUUGGAAGACUACGAGCCUUUAAACUUCGACUUCCCGAAUGAAGACCUAAUAUGUGUUGCUACCACUAAAAAAGGUGCUCUCGAAGAACUUCCUUGGAAAUUGAAUUUCGAUGGGGCGUCAAACGCUAUGGGCAAUGGAAUCAGGGCCGUCUUAGUAUCCUCAAAUGGAGAUCAUUAUCCAUUCACUAGUAAAUUGGAUUUUGAUUGUACGAAUAACAUGGCAGAAUACGAGGUCUGCAUCAUGGGAGUCCAUGCAGCCAUAGAACGCAAGAUUAAUGUGCUAGAGGUGUAUGGGGAUUUCGCGCUAGCGAUUUAUCAACUCAAGGGAGAAUGGGUGACUAGAGAUCCUAAGUUGAUCGACUAUCGAAAACUGGUCCUUGAACUGGUUAAAGAGUUUGAUGACAUUACCUUCCACUACCUUCCACGAGACAAAAAUCAGAUGGCUGAUGCUUUGGCUACCUUAGCUUCCAUGAUCAAGGUGAACAAACAAGAAUAUGUCAAACCCAUCCGAAUGAGCAUUUAUAAAAUUUCGGCCCACUGUUACAAUAUUGAAGAAAAUAAAGAGAGAGAUGAUCACCCUUAGUAUCACGAUAUAUUGCAAUACGUGAAGAAUAAUGAAUAUCUGGACCAGGCAAGCGAGAAUGACAAAAGAACUCUAAGAAGACUGGCCAUCGACUAUGUCUUAGAUGGGGAUAUAUUAUACAAAAGAAGAAAAGAUCAAGUGCUACUAAGAUGUGUAGACGCCGUAGAAGCUAAGAAAAUCUUGGAAGAAGUCCAUGAAGGUGUCUGUGGGACGCAUGCUAAUGGCUUUACAAUGGCCAGGCAAAUUAUGAGAUUCGGGUACUAUUGGUCCACCAUGGAAGGAGACUGUGUCAAUUACGCCAAGAGAUGUCAUAAAUGCCAAAUCUACGGGGACAAAAUUCAUGUGCCUCCUUCACCGCUGCAUGUCAUGGUUGCUCUAUGGCCAUUCUCGAUGUGGGGCAUGGAUGUGAUUGGACCAAUAUCGCCGAAAGCUUCCAAUGGGCAUCGGUUCAUCUUUGUGGUUAUUGAAUACUUCACCAAAUGGGUAGAAGCCGCUUCAUAUGCUAGUGUGACAAAGUCGACAGUGAGCAAGUUUCUGAAAAAGGAGAUCAUAUGUCGAUAUGGAAUGCCGGAGAAGAUUAUAUCUGACAAUGCAUUAAACUUGAACAAUAGUACGAUAGCGGAAGUCUGCAGUCAAUUCAAGAUCAGACAUCACAACUCGUCACCAUAUCGCCCAAAGAUGAAUGGGGCAGUGGAAGCGGCCAAUAAAAACAUUAAGAAAAUUGUGGGGAAGAUGACCGAAACCUACAGAGACUGGCAUGAGAAGUUACCAUUUGCCCUCUUUGCUUAUCGAACGUCAGUCAGAACCUCAACUGGGGCAACCCCUUUCUCCUUGGUCUACGGAAUGGAAGUGGUGUUGCCAAUCGAAGUUGAGAUCCCAUCUCUUCGAGUGUUGUCGGAGUUAAAGUUAGACGAAGUAGAAUGGAUCCAGUCUCGAUACGAUCAAUUGAACUUGAUUGAGGAAAAGAGGCUAAGAGCUAUCCGUCAUGGUCAGAUGUACCAAAAAUGAAUGAUGCGGGCUUAUGACAAAAAGUUUCACCCUAGAAAAUUCCACAAGGGAGACCUAGUUUUGAAAAAGAUCAUUCCCAUACAGAAAGAUUUUCGAGGAAAAUGGAUGCCUAAUUGGGAGGGGCCUUACGUGGUGAAGAAAGCUUUCUCCGGAGGAGCAUUGAUUCUAGCCGAGAUGGAUGGUAGAAACUUGCCCAAUCUUGUAAAUUCAGAUUCUGUCAAAAAGUAUUUCACUUUAAAAAAAAGAGGCCAAGGUGAAAACCCGCAAAGGGCGUUUUUUUAAUAAAAAAAAAAACCAAAAAAUUUUGGAGAGGCUAAGGUGAAAACCAGCAAAGGGCACUUUGAGACCAAAGGGUUUUUGACUUGAAAACCCGUAAACAGGUAGCUCAAAUUUUGAAUGUGGGAUAUAUGGUAGUCUUGCCCGCCCAAAAUCAAUAAGAGGGAAGAACAGUACACCUUGGGGCAUCAACAAAAUGCGCUUGAUCUCUGAAACACACAUUUAGCUCGAAGGAGCCUUUGAGAAAUUAAAAUAGUGAAGCUCGUGCUGCGAUAUCUGGGGCACCUUUUUCCUCAUUUUAUUUUGAGCCUUACUAUAUUUGCUAUCCUGUUUAAUGUAUUCACUUCAAGUUUUGCUCAAUAAAAUUCCAUCUUGUCCAUUAUGAUAAUCUCUUUCGAGCAUUUUUUUGAAAUCACGAUUUUUGGAAUUAUAACAUUCACAUAAAAAAAAGGUUACGCAUAUUACUCUGGAAAGUUUCUAAAUAGUACAAGGACCUGAAACAGGGCCACUAGGCAGAAUUAACCAGACUCAAAAGUGGGAAACAUUAGAAAAAGAAUAGUUCAAGUUGUGACUAUUUCUUUGAAUCUUCUAUCAAAGAUAACGGCGAAACAGCAAGAGGCGAUAGUGUAUCAAUGAUAGAACCCGGAUAAACUAUGAGCAACGAUACCUUAAACAUUUAAAAAGAAAUCAUUCUUAUGACAUUUCUGCAUUCAUAUAAUGACACAUCUAGUUAGGAGCAUUUGAUUCAUUUCGAUCAUAACAUCCUAAUUAUUUGACAUAAAUCAUCACAUUUAGUUAGGAGCAUUUGAUUUAUUUCAAUCAUAGCAUCCUAAUUAUUUGGCAUAAGCAUAGAUACAUGAAACUAAUUUUACAGAUCAUGUUCCUCAAAGGACAGUGCAGUGGAAUCAUUGAAUUCACAAGUCUUAACCCCCUAAGCAGUGGGGCAACAAGCUAAAAAUUGUAAAUCUUGUUUCCCUAAGAUUGCAGUGGAGCAGAUCGAAGAUGGCGAAUCUAGGUUUCCUGAUGUUGUAGCGAAGCAGAUUUAAGCCACCAUCUUAGCUCCCUAAAGUUGUAAUGGAGUAGGUUGAAGAUUGUAGAUCUUGUUUCCCUGAGAUUGCAGUGGAGCAGGUCGAAGACAGCGGAUCUAGGCUUCCUGAUAUUGCAGUGAAGCAGAUUUAAGCCACCAUCCUAGCUCCCUAAAGUUGUAAUGGAGUAGGCUGAAGAUUGUAGAUCUUGUUUCCCUGAGAUUGCAGUGGAGCAGAUCGAAGACGGCGGAUCUAAGUUUCCUGAUGUUGCAACGAAGCAGAUUUAAGUCACCACCCUAGCUCCCUAAAAUUGUAGUGGAGUAGACCCAAGAUUGUAGACCUCGUCUCCAGUGGAGCAGAUCAAAGAAAACAAGACUCAACACCCUAAGUAGUAGGGACACAGGCCGAAGAUUACAGGAUCUCGUCUCCUUGAUGUUGCAGUGGAGCAAGAUCAAAAUCACGAUCCUUAUCUCUUUCAAGUUGCAGUAGAGCAGGAUAAAAAACACGUGAACCAUGUCUCCCUGAAGUUGCAGUGGAGCAUAUUAAAGCUACUUGAAAAAAAGAAGCACCAAGAAGUCGAGACUCAGCAGAUCUCGGUAAAAUUGGCCCAUUUAUAGUCUUUGCUCUAUUUUUGUUACCCGAAAAUGAGCAAAGAGGGGCAGUUGUAAUGGGCCAAAUUUUCACGGCCCGUAUAAAGACAAGAAACAAAACGAAAAUACAAAAAAAAAAUCACAAAAAAAUAUGUAUACCACAGUCCAGGUCUUUGGUACAAAGCAGCCCAAAUACAUUAACCCUAGCCCGAUACCCAUCAUGAGCCCAAAUUGAAACAAGCCCAAUAGGCCCAUUCCCUUAACAGCUCCAGAAACCUUAGGUCCCCCCCUCUUUUCGUUUUGUGCCACAACCAAGAAGCAGUCCCAUACCUCCACAGCCCUCGUACGCCACGCCUGCACCCCGUACGCAUGCCAAUAGACUCUGUACCUGCAAGAAGGAAACAAAAACAGCAGCGAAUGGAAACAAGUAUAUUGUAUUUCUUUAGUUUAUUUCCUUUUUCGGCUAUAAAAGCCCAGCUUUUAAUCUUUGUAAAGGAAGAGAGGAGAAGAAGAGGAAAGCAUUUUGUUUCACGAAUACACAACAGGCAAUAAAAAAGAGCGAACACAAACACAAAAGGAAAAUCAAUACAAAAAAGCUUUUCUAAAAAAGAUCUCCACAAGUGAUUCUCAUUUUUUUCUUUCGAUUUGGUUUAUGUUUUUUUGAUUGAUCUAUCGCAUGAAAAACGAAUAAAAGAGAGGGCGAAUCAAAUAUAAAGAAAUCAAUUUUGUUUAAAGAAAAAGCGAGGAGAGCCUUAUCUUGCAGAUAUGCCAAAGGUUCCUCUCGCUUCGUUGAAAUCGAAGUUGAAAAGAGAUCUCAAGGCUGAAAAGUUCUCCACCGUUGGUAGGUUCAGGCCGUCGUCAGUGCUGUCGACCACCAGAUCUGGUGGUGGUUCAGCUGCUGUAAGUUUAUGGACUGAAACCUAGUUGAGGGUUAGGAAUUUGGGAGGUCUGUGCUUAAGAAAAUGGUUUUGUAAGCUUUUAAAAUAUAAAUGUAUAA
rnacentral:lncRNA from 1 species